rnacentral:lncRNA from 10 species
GACCUGUUUCUUGGGCAGCUCUCUGAAAAGCUGGAAUGUUGGAGGCAUGCUCUAUUCUUUUCUCCCAGAGGAAAAAGAUGUGAAGAGGCAUUCUGUCUUGGCACUGAGCUGUGCUAACUUGGGGGAGAGGCUGAUGCAGAUUGACCUUGCUAGGUUAUAGAGGCAUGUUCUAUCGUCUUUAUUAAGAAGGUGUUUCACUCUUGUUGCCCAGGCUGAAGUGCAAUGGCACGAUCUCGGCUCACUGCAACCUCCGUCUCCCGGGUUCAAGUGAUUCUUCUGCCUCAGCCUCCCGAGUAGCUGGAAUUACAGGCAUAUGCCACCACACCCAGCUAAUUUUCCAUUUUUAGUAGGGACGGGGUUUUACCAUGUUGGUCAGGCUGGUCUUGAACUCCUGACCUCAGGUGAUCCACCUGCCUUGGUCUCCUAAAGUGCUGGGAUAGCAAGCAUGAACCGCUGCGUCUGGCCCAUUUUUCUUAUUCUUAAACAUCCUACUAAACAUUUUGGAGCUAGUUGUAUUAGGAGGUUUAUUUUCUAUGUGGAUGGAGCAGUUUAAAAAAGCUGAAAUAAGUGAAAUCUUCCAAGUGAUUUAAAAAAUUUUUAAGCCCAUGUUUCUACCUACUAAAAUUCAAAAAUAUUUACUAUAGAAGAUGACUAGUCUUCUUUAUGACAGUUAUUUUAAUUUAAAAGGAAUUAAAAGGAUAUAACUUUUCUUGAAACAUUUGCACUUAAUCAUGCUGUCAAUUCAUUAUAUGAUUUUGGAUUACUUGCUUAAUGUUUCUAUUUCUUCUCUGUUAAUACUAAUUACUCCUAAUAAUU